GACGAACGCUGGCGGCGUGCCUAAUACAUGCAAGUCGAACGCACGAAGUUGAAGAGCUGCUCUUAAACCAAGUGAGUGGCGGACGGGUGAGUAUCACGUGGGUAACCUACCCAUUAGAGGGGGAUAACAUUCGGAAACGGAUGCUAAUACCGCAUAGUUUCAGGAAUCGCAUGAUUCGUGAAGGAAAGGUGGCUUCGGCUACCACUAAUGGAUGGACCCGCGGCGUAUUAGCUAGUUGGUGAGGUAAUGGCUCACCAAGGCAAUGAUACGUAGCCGACCUGAGAGGGUGAUCGGCCACACUGGGACUGAGACACGGCCCAGACUCCUACGGGAGGCAGCAGUAGGGAAUCUUCCGCAAUGGACGAAAGUCUGACGGAGCAACGCCGCGUGAGUGAAGAAGGUUUUCGGAUCGUAAAACUCUGUUGUUAAAGAAGAACAAGGAUGAGAGUAACUGCUCAUCCCCUGACGGUAUUUAACCAGAAAGCCACGGCUAACUACGUGCCAGCAGCCGCGGUAAUACGUAGGUGGCAAGCGUUAUCCGGAUUUAUUGGGCGUAAAGCGAGCGCAGGCGGUUCUUUAAGUCUGAUGUGAAAGCCCCCGGCUCAACCGGGGAGGGUCAUUGGAAACUGGAGAACUUGAGUGCAGAAGAGGAGAGUGGAAUUCCACGUGUAGCGGUGAAAUGCGUAGAUACGUGGAGGAACACCAGUGGCGAAGGCGACUCUCUGGUCUGUAACUGACGCUGAGGCUCGAAAGCGUGGGGAGCAAACAGG
rnacentral:rRNA from 1 species